rnacentral:lncRNA from 1 species
GGGGCUGCUGACCUGCAAGUCUGCCUUUGGGGGCAGGUGAUUUCCAUGGCAUCUGCAGAGUGACUUUCCCACAGUUGAGCAACUUGUGUUGAAACUGAGAUGGAGGGCAGUCAGCCAAGAAAGUUGAACAACUGUCAACAAAUUUAAAUUUGUCAUUUCUAAGCUGAUGGAAGAGAAAGAGAAUCCUGGUAGAAGAGGCCUUUAAAGAAUCUGGUCUAACCCCUAAAAAUCAACUAGGUCAUGGAAGAGAAAGACAGAACAAAUGCUUUCUUCUCUCUAGUAGAAAAGAAGUAAUUGAAAAAGAACAGA